CAGCCGCCACGGUAAAACGGAGGGGGCUAGCGUUGUUCGGAAUUACUGGGCGUAAAGCGCACGUAGGCGGCUUGGUAAGUUAGAGGUGAAAGCCCGGAGCUCAACUCCGGAAUUGCCUUUAAGACUGCCGAGCUAGCAGGUGAGAGAGGUAAGUGGAAUUCCGAGUGUAGAGGUGAAAUUCGUAGAUAUUCGGAAGAACACCAGUGGCGAAGGCGGCUUACUGGCUCAUACUGGACGCUGAGGUGCGAAAGCGUGGGGAGCAAACAGGAUUAGAUACCCCCGUAGUCCCUGUCUCUUAUAC
rnacentral:rRNA from 1 species